rnacentral:rRNA from 1 species
UAACACGUGGGUAACCUGCCCAUCAGAGGGGGAUAACAUUCGGAAACGGAUGCUAAAACCGCAUAGGUCCCUUAACCGCAUGGUUGAAGGAGGAAAAGAGGCGCAAGCUUCUGCUGAUGGAUGGACCCGCGGUGCAUUAGCUAGUUGGUGAGGUAACGGCUCACCAAGGCCGUGAUGCAUAGCCGACCUGAGAGGGUGAUCGGCCACAUUGGGACUGAGACACGGCCCAA